GAUGAACGCUAGCUACAGGCUUAACACAUGCAAGUCGAGGGGCAGCAUGGUCUUAGCUUGCUAAGGCCGAUGGCGACCGGCGCACGGGUGAGUAACACGUAUCCAACCUGCCGUCUACUCUUGGACAGCCUUCUGAAAGGAAGAUUAAUACAAGAUGGCAUCAUGAGUCCACAUGUUCACAUGAUUAAAGGUAUUCCGGUAGACGAUGGGGAUGCGUUCCAUUAGAUAGUAGGCGGGGUAAUGGCCCACCUAGUCUUCGAUGGAUAGGGGUUCUGAGAGGAAGGUCCCCCACAUUGGAACUGAGACACGGUCCAAACUCCUACGGGAGGCAGCAGUGAGGAAUAUUGGUCAAUGGGCGAGAGCCUGAACCAGCCAAGUAGCGUGAAGGAUGACUGCCCUAUGGGUUGUAAACUUCUUUUAUAAAGGAAUAAAGUCGGGUAUGCAUACCCGUUUGCAUGUACUUUAUGAAUAAGGAUCGGCUAACUCCGUGCCAGCAGCCGCGGUAAUACGGAGGAUCCGAGCGUUAUCCGGAUUUAUUGGGUUUAAAGGGAGCGUAGAUGGAUGUUUAAGUCAGUUGUGAAAGUUUGCGGCUCAACCGUAAAAUUGCAGUUGAUACUGGAUAUCUUGAGUGCAGUUGAGGCAGGCGGAAUUCGUGGUGUAGCGGUGAAAUGCUUAGAUAUCACGAAGAACUCCGAUUGCGAAGGCAGCCUGCUAAGCUGCAACUGACAUUGAGGCUCGAAAGUGUGGGUAUCAAACAGGAUUAGAUACCCUGGUAGUCCACACGGUAAACGAUGAAUACUCGCUGUUUGCGAUAUACAGCAAGCGGCCAAGCGAAAGCGUUAAGUAUUCCACCUGGGGAGUACGCCGGCAACGGUGAAACUCAAAGGAAUUGACGGGGGCCCGCACAAGCGGAGGAACAUGUGGUUUAAUUCGAUGAUACGCGAGGAACCUUACCCGGGCUUAAAUUGCAGAUGAAUUACGGUGAAAGCCGUAAGCCGCAAGGCAUCUGUGAAGGUGCUGCAUGGUUGUCGUCAGCUCGUGCCGUGAGGUGUCGGCUUAAGUGCCAUAACGAGCGCAACCCUUGUUGUCAGUUACUAACAGGUUCCGCUGAGGACUCUGACAAGACUGCCAUCGUAAGAUGUGAGGAAGGUGGGGAUGACGUCAAAUCAGCACGGCCCUUACGUCCGGGGCUACACACGUGUUACAAUGGGGGGUACAGAGGGCCGCUACCACGCGAGUGGAUGCCAAUCCCCAAAACCUCUCUCAGUUCGGACUGGAGUCUGCUACCCGACUCCACGAAGCUGGAUUCGCUAGUAAUCGCGCAUCAGCCACGGCGCGGUGAAUACGUUCCCGGGCCU
rnacentral:rRNA from 1 species